AGAGUUUGAUCAUGGCUCAGGACGAACGCUGGCGGCGUGCCUAAUACAUGCAAGUCGAGCGAGCGGAACUAACAGAUUUACUUCGGUAAUGACGUUAGGAAAGCGAGCGGCGGAUGGGUGAGUAACACGUAGGUAACCUGCCCCGG
rnacentral:rRNA from 1 species